CGGCGCGGGGCGAACGAGCCGGCGGGCGGCACGGCCCAGUAUUUAUAUACAGCGCCUGCGUGCGCCCGGCUCGGGCCCCGCCCCCCAGCGCCGCGCGCCAAUGCGCCACUAGCUGGGGAUGGGAAGGAAGAGGCGGGAAGAAAAGCCACAAAGGUUUUAUAGACCUGCUCCCGUUUCUGGAACAUGGCACCUCCCUUCCGACCGUUGGCCCGCCUGUCUGGCAGCAAGGUUGCGUCCCCAUGCGGUGGCCGCGGGAAUCGGCGGAGGUUUUGUUCUCUGGCUCUCGCCGAGGGUCUUUCCGGCCGCCCUUCCUUGAGAUGCCCGGGUGACCUGCAGCCAGGAUCCCCCAGCCAUGUGAAAGUGGCCAUCUUGGCUUGUCAACGUACGAUUCUUCGUUUGGCCUUACUCAUCCGCGCGCUGCGCUGUGCAGACGGCUGGAAAUGCUGAGGGGGGCCGCCUAGCUGCUAGUGAUUUCUUGGCUAAUGCCUCUGUGGUGAAAAUGGACGAAAAGCAGAAUAGGAGAGUUCUGCCACCGAUUUAAAUGAUUGCCUUCUUUCUUACACCUCCAGCGCUAAAGUCUCUGAGAAAGGCCCUUACGCUUCGUUGACUACAGUGAAGGCCGAGCUGUGGCCCCGUCAGCUCAAGCCUUUUUUUGGUCUGAAAGGAGGCCGCUCACAAGGCUGACCUUGCUCUUGCUGACUUAUGUGUUUAGGAAAGAAAAAAUAAACGAGGUUUAGGGAAUCAUUUCAAUCAUCUGUUCGAGAGAGGAAUAUUUUUCUGGGGAGGAUAAUCCUUACAUAGCCCUUGUAUGUGAUUAAGCAGAUCUCUCGACAAAGUCGUUACGUGAAACUUUCACUUAAAAGGGUCCACCUGUGUUUGUCCCAUUUUUUUCCCAUUAUAGGAAUUAUGGGGAGAGAAAAAAAAACAAAACUUGAGCCAACAAGGAGUAGGGAGUCAGAGCCAGUUUCACGGAGGCCCCAUGGAAGGAACCCUCCAGUGGAAAAGAGGGCACUUGUCACUUCCUCUGGUACCGGAGCUGUGGACUGGGUGCAGGUUUGACAGGGGCUGUCCUGGUGGCCCCGAGCACAUUAACAUCGGGUUUAAUAAUGUUAUUAGGGAAUGGCCUGCUCCGAGGACAGGAGCAAGUUACACUGGGGAGAUAAAUGAGACUCCUUAUAGAGGCUUCAUAUAAUGCUUAGAGAAUUAGGUAAAUGCUGAAGAACAAUCCUCAAGCGGUGUGCAGGAGGAAAGGUGGGAAUUUGCCGAAUGGGAAACAAUGGAAGCCUUUGGACUGUGCUAGGUUGGCACUUUGACAAAGAAGUUAACAAGGCUCAUCUCUAGACUUCAUGACCACAUCCAUGGUCGCAAACAGGCAGCAAGAAAAGGUUAACUCACAGACUACAUACACUAUUUUUAUUGUUUUUUUUUUUCAAACAUCAUGGGAAAAUAACUGUGUAAAACUAUUUUUUUUUUUAGUUUUAUUUCAUCUUUUUUUAAACAAUGCCAAUUUAUUCAUGAUGAGUAAUAAAACUGUCAACUGGAACAAA